ACAAAUCUUAAAAUCAGACCACUGCAUCACAAAACUGUGCAAGAAAAGCAACGGCCAAGGGACCACUGUGCAGCUAAUGAAGAAAAGACUUGUUGAGUUUCCCGAAUAUCUCUGAAAAUAGCAAGCGGGACAGGAGGUUGGCAGUAUGUUUAGUGCCACUCCUAUUUGGGACUCCCUAAAGGCAGAAGAAAAUUCCAGAAUGGGAAACCAAUUAGAAGGAUGAGAAAAGAUGUGGAAAUUUCAAAAAGU
rnacentral:lncRNA from 1 species